rnacentral:rRNA from 1 species
AGAGUUUGAUUCUGGCUCAGGAUGAACGCUGGCGGCGUGCCUAACACAUGCAAGUCGAACGGAGCUGCUUUGAUGAAGUUUUCGGAUGGAUUUAAAACAGCUUAGUGGCGGACGGGUGAGUAACGCGUGGGUAACCUGCCUCACACUGGGGGAUAACAGUUAGAAAUAGCUGCUAAUACCGCAUAAGCGCACGGUUCCGCAUGGAACAGUGUGAAAAAUUCCGGUGGUGUGAGAUGGACCCGCGUCUGAUUAGCCAGUUGGCGGGGUAACGGCCCACCAAAGCGACGAUCAGUAGCCGGCCUGAGAGGGUGAACGGCCACAUUGGGACUGAGACACGGCCCAAACUCCUACGGGAGGCAGCAGUGGGGAAUAUUGCACAAUGGGGGAAACCCUGAUGCAGCGACGCCGCGUGAGUGAAGAAGUAUUUCGGUAUGUAAAGCUCUAUCAGCAGGGAAGAAAGUGACGGUACCUGAACAAGAAGCCCCGGCUAACUACGUGCCAGCAGCCGCGGUAAUACGUAGGGGGCAAGCGUUAUCCGGAUUUACUGGGUGUAAAGGGAGCGUAGACGGCAAGGCAAGUCUGAAGUGAAAGCCCGGUGCUUAACGCCGGGACUGCUUUGGAAACUGUUUAGCUGGAGUGCCGGAGAGGUAAGCGGAAUUCCUAGUGUAGCGGUAAAAUGCGUAGAUAUUAGGAAGAACACCAGUGGCGAAGGCGGCUUACUGGACGGUAACUGACGUUGAGGCUCGAAAGCGUGGGGAGCAAACAGGAUUAGAUACCCUGGUAGUCCACGCCGUAAACGAUGAU